UACGUAGGGAGCAAGCGUUGUCCGGAAUCAUUGGGCGUAAAGCGCGCGUAGGUGGCCAUUUAAGUUCGCUGUGAAAGUCAGAGGCUCAACCUUUGAAAGCCGGUGGAUACUGGAUGGCUAGAGUACGGAAGAGGCGAGUGGAAUUCCUGGUGUAGCGGUGGAAUGCGCAGAUAUCAGGAGGAACACCAAUAGCGAAGGCAGCUCGCUGGGACGUUACUGACACUGAGGCGCGAAAGCGUGGGGAGCGAACAGG
rnacentral:rRNA from 1 species